UUCAUAGCCAGCAUGGGAUCAUGGCCAGCGGGCGCGGCGGCGGGCUGGAUGUUGGUGGCGUUGGCACUGGCGCCACUUGUGCUGGUCAUAUUGUUCUAUGCCGUCUUCAAGUGCCGCGUCAGGAAUAUUGUGGGGACUGAAAAAUAAAUUCGAAGUCCUGUGUGAAACUAUGUAAUUUGGAAGAUUGUGUUAAUUUAUAAUAUUAUGAAGACUGAACUGUAUUCAAUAAAACAUUAAACUUUCUGAAUGA